rnacentral:rRNA from 1 species
GACGAACGCUGGCGGCGUGCUUAACACAUGCAAGUCGAACGGAGUUCUUCAAGUGGAUCCUUCGGGUGAAGCUUGUUGAACUUAGUGGCGGACGGGUGAGUAACACGUGGGUAAUCUACCAUAAAGACCAGGACAACAGUUGGAAACGACUGCUAAUACCGGAUGUUGUGCACUGGCGGCAUCGCCUAUGCAUUAAAGGAGGCCUCUUAACAAUGCUCCGCUUUAAUGAUGAGCCCGCGUCUGAUUAGAUAGUUGGUGAGGUAACGGCUCACCAAGUCGACGAUCAGUAGCCGGACUGAGAGGUUGAACGGCCACAUUGGGACUGAGACACGGCCCAAA